UACGAAGGGUGCAAGCGUUACUCGGAAUUACUGGGCGUAAAGCGUGCGCAGGUGGUUCUUUAAGUCUGAUGUGAAAGCCCCCGGCUCAACCGGGGAGGGUCAUUGGAAACUGGGGAACUUGAGUAUAGAAGAGGAAAGUGGAAUUCCACGUGUAGCGGUGAAAUGCGUAGAGAUGUGGAGGAACACCAGUGGCGAAGGCGACUUUCUGGUCUAUAACUGACACUGAGGCGCGAAAGCGUGGGGAGCAAACAGG
rnacentral:rRNA from 1 species